rnacentral:lncRNA from 1 species
GCUGGCGGCCCCGGCGGCGGCGGCAGGUGUGGAUGGGGCGAAGGUGCGGGAACGUCCACUCCCGCGCGCCCCUCUCGGGGACCAGGGCGGCCUCCCAGGAGGAGCUUGGUGAGCAGCUGCGACCUGUGCAUAACUUGGGGCGCCGCCAGGGGCUCGCAGGUUCCACGUCCGGCGCCUGGAGAAGGAAGACGCGCGUCCCCGGCCGCGGCGCCGAAGCCGGCUGGGGGACCGCCUGGUCCCGGGCCAGAGCUGGGAGGCGGUGUUCCGUGAGCCGCCUGGUCUGGGGUGCGGGGGGCGGGAAGCGGCCCCUUCGUGUGCGCUUGGGCGAGGCCGGGCGGCGCUUCUGUCCUCCUACUCGGACCCGCAGGUUUCUGGUCCUCAUACCGUGUGGUUGAGUGAAAUCAAAACUUCCACGAUAGCAAUGCUGAUUGGACAAAGAAUGUGUUGUGGACACAAAACCAAACUCUGGAGGACAGAGGAUUCAUUCCAAGGGUCUGCUUGUAUUCAAUGACUGGUCUACGUGGGGGUGUGAAGUCCCCUUACUCCACCUGUGAAGAGUCUUCCCAGUUUCAGACCACCCUCCCAGCCUCCUGUUAUUGGCUAAGGCCAUUUUGUGACUACACUGCAGGUAGAGAUGGAUUCCUGGAAAUACCUCCUCAAGGCCAGUGUAGAGCCCUCAAUCACCCACUGCCCCCAGCUUCUCCUUCUCCCAUCUCCUGCACCAAGCAGGUCUCCAGGUGUUCCAGCUGCUGAUGACGUAAAGUGUGGAGUUGGUCCAGGAAGGUCAUGUUCCAUGCAGCAGAGGAGCGCUUUGUGUGAGAAGUUGAAGACCUGCUGUAACACAUCAUAGAGGAAAGACAUAGCCUGGGCCUUCUGCAACUGGCUGACUUCCACCUUCUCCUGGGGGAAUCUGAAGUCACUUCUGUCCUUUAGACACAAGAAGGGAGAGAUUCUCCUCAUUUGGCCCAAAAGCACCAAGGUGUUCCUGCCUAGCAGGCCAUGGUUCUGAGGUAUCAAAGUCUCAACAGCCCUAGAACGCUGAUAACAAAGGUUUGUUUUGUCUAAGUAGGUAAAGGAAUUAUCCAAUUGUAAUCAUUUUAUCUUCAGUAGUUAAAUAAUUUUUAUUUCACCAAGUACAGCUUUUAUUCUUUCUUUAACUCUUUUGCUAUCUUUAAUUCUUUUAAACUAUUAACAGUUUUUAUGCUUAAAAUUUAUGAGCUAUGCACAGGAGAGUCAAAGAUGCUGCUGCCUCUCUUUAGAGGCUCAUAUUACAGAAACUGGCGACCCUCAGUUGUUCACUAGUUCAGUGUGAUCUGUUGAAGUUUCUUACAUCUCUGUCUACAUGAAACUUUGACGGUGCAGGGCAGUGAGCCCCAUGCUAUCACAUUAAAUAGUCAUAGCCAUCUUUCCUUUACUGAUUUGUGAUUCUUCAUUUUAAAUUUAAAGCUCAACAACAAAUGAAUUUUUAGAACACCUUUUUAACAUAGUGGUUUACUGGGCAGUUUGUCUUGCUGCUACCACAUUAUAUUCUAAUUCAUGAUGAAGUAACACAAACAAAGGAAAGUAAAAGAAAGGCAAAAGAGCUACACUGCUUUUCUCUAUAAUUUCCAAAAUUCGUGUUUUUCUUGUUUCUCAUUUAAACUUUUGUAGAAAGUACUACUUGACAGUUGUUUGUAGGGAGAAAGAAAACAGAAGCAAUUCUGAUUGUCAUGAAAUUGAAAUAAGGGGAGUGACUUUCCCCUUACUAACUGCAAAGUGUAAGUUAGCAAACUUCAAUGCAGCAAAAAUUGGGGACUAGAGAGUUUUCGAAGAUCAGCUACUUGACUUUCUUUCACUUAAUCCACAUGUGAUCAGCUCUGGAGAGAAGGCAGAAGUCACACCAACCAACUCCCAAAAGAUUGACAACCAGGCUGCAGUUGCUAGAACACCAACAAUGCUCUCUGGCAGGGUGUUAGACAUUAAGCUUGUCUGAAGACUCUACCUAGUUAAUAAAUCCACCCAGGCAAUGAUAAGAUAGGCUUGAGGAACCUGGAAUUAAUAGAAAUAGAAUUGGAUGAUCCCAAAAGUUUCUAUUUUAAUCUGGAUGAUGAUAAUAAUAAUACUAAUAUUAAAAAUGAUAACACCAACAUUUAUUGCAUGCCUAAUAGGAACCAUCCACUGUUUUAAGAUUUUCUUUUUUGAGACAGGGUCUUACUGUGUCACCUAGGCUGCAGUACAGUGGUGCGAUCACGGUUCACUGCAAUCUGACCUUCUGGGCUCAAGCAGUCCUUUUACCUCAGUCUCUUGAGUAACUGGGACCACAAGCAUGCACGACCAUGCUUGGCUAAUUUUUCAAAUUUUUUGUAGAGACAGGGUUUCAACAUGUGCCCAGCCUGGUCUGGUGCUCCUGGGCUCAAGCGAUCAUCCUGCCUCAGUGUUCCAAAGUGCUGGGAUUACAGGCAUCAGCCACCAUGCCAGGCUGUUUUAAGAUAUUUUUAAAAUACUAACUCUGUCUUCUCAGUAACACUAUUUGGAUUACACCCUUUUAUACAACUGUUUGGAGAGAAAUAUAAAUCUGGAGGGAUGAACUAUUCUGACCACACCAAUUGUGCAAGGUGAAAACUUUAGGGAGAAUCAAUAUAAUGGCUUUUCUGGAAGGGUCCUUUAAAGGAAGUGGGGGAUAGAUAUGAACAUAGAAAGUAAAGAAGAGGACAUCAAAUCAAUGGAGCAGGGAGAGUGAGAUGACUAGGAUUCUGAGAUGCAUUUUGAAUGUCAAAUGGUUGCUGUCUAUUGCUUUACAGAGCAACAGGGGGUGUAGUGUAAAUGAAUUGAACUGACUGCCUUAAGUUCAGUGGAAAAGUAGAUGAAAUACAUUCCUUUUUUUUUUUUUUUUUUUUUUUUUUGAGAGAGAGUCUUGCUUUGUCACCCAAACUGGAGUGCAGUGGCGCAAUUUCAGCUAACUGCAACCUCCACCUCCUGGGUUCAAGUGAUUCUCGUGCCUUAGCCUCUGGAGUAGCUGGGACUAUCAGUGCACACCACUAUGCCCGGCUAACUUUUGUAUUUCUAGUAAAGACAGGGCUUCACCAUGUUGGCCAGGCUGGUCUUGAACCCCUGGCCCUAAAUGAUCCGCCUGCCUCAGCCUCCCAAAGUGCCAGGAUUACAGGUGUGAGCCUCUGCACCCAGCCAAUGAAAUAUCUUUUAAGUAGUAAAAUGAAGUAGAUUUGUCUGCCAAUUAAAAAAAUAAAUCAUAACAUUUAAUUAGUGAUUUCUUCAAAAAUAUACUAAAACAACUCUAUUAACCUAUCAACUGCAAACUCCUAGAAGCCAAUUUAUUUUUUACUCUUGAGUUUUCUUGUGUAUUUAAGAAUAAAGAGAAAACAACUAAUAAUUUCUGGGACAGCCCAGCCAUAUGGACUCUGACUUUCUCCUCCUUCAGGACUCACAGGUCAGCCUGCUGCUCUUAUUGCCAAGGAGAAGGAUAUUUCUAUCCCCAGCCCAUUCAGGACUUAAUCUUGUGUACUGAUUGUGUCCAGUGAAGAAUCUCUUCCCCUCUUUCUCUUUCGGUCCAUUGGUUGAGUUGUGAGUGCUGAAAAGAUCAUUCAUAUGACCAAGAUUGUGAUGCUUAGAUGUUUAUCCCCAGCAAACAUGUAAACUAUAGAAAUCUCAGUUGUCUCCACCAAACAUCUAAACUGUAUAGCAUCUAAGCAGCCUGAGGCUUUCACCAGAUGCCCAGUCUUCCAGCCAGCAGCAUUGUGAGCCAAAUAAACAUUUUUUUCUUUAUAAAUUACUCAGCCUCAGGUACUCCUUGUUAGUGAAAAGGAACCCAGGUUCAGCUGCUCAUCUCUCGAAAACCAAACUCAAGAGAAGAGAGAUGUUGAGGGGGAAGCAGAUUCAUUAGGAAAGCCUGCAAACUGAGAAGACGGUAGACUAGUAUCUUCAAAUACCAUCUUAAGGCAGUACAAAUUUCAGGCUCUUUUUAUGUUAAGGGCAGGCAGAAGAGGAGGGGGGUCAGGAUAAAUAGGUGACCAUCAAUAGCAGACAACUGGGCACCAGCACAGGACCAAGGAAUUUGAAAAAUUCUUUGUUCUUUGUCAGGUCACAAUGCUCCUAUGAAUCUUUAAGGUAACCUAGUUAGUUGUUUACAUUCUUCUCCUUUAAUCCCAGAGUUAGUUUUAAAAAUUACAUGAUUGCUGUUUUUGCACAUUAUCUCUGCUCUAAAAUCAUCCCAACCUACGUGCAAGAAUGGGUGUAGGCCCCGUAAACAAAAUGGAGUUAGUUAUGUUAGGUAUUUUGCUGUCUCACUGCUACAAUUGCAACACAAAAUGAAUGCUUUUAAAGGGCUGCUUGCCAAGGAAGAUCUGGCUUUAACUACAGAUUCAGCCACAUUGCUUAGUAUGGUUGUCUUUGGCUGUCUAUGGUUGGCAUUACAAUAGAUGAUAUUUUCCAGUCAUAGUAAUAGAAGGUUUUAUCAAAAAAUAAAUGUUUACAAAGUGAAAAUUGUAAGGAACACCUCUUACAACCAAGCAGUUCCAAAACAAACAGAAACAAAUAUGGUGGGCGCACUGAGCACUUUCAUGCAUUGUUGUGCAUCUAUAUAAGUGUCAUAUGCUUUAUGAAUUUUUGUUUUGCAAUCAUUUGUACUCCUUCAUUCAUUUAUUCAUUUUCCAAUCCACUUAUUCCGUUUCAGGGUCAAGGGUGGCAGGAACCUAUCCUCACAGAUCAGGGUGUAAGGUGGAAAACCCCACUGCACAGGAAGCUAUUUAAUCACAGGGCACAUUCAAACACACACACACACUCACUCACUGAGACUGGAGAAAUUUAGACAAACCAAUUAACUUAACAUGCACAUAUUUGGGAUGCAGGAGGAAACUGAAGUACCUGGAGAAAACUCAUGCAGGCAUGGGGAGAACUCCACACAGACAAGGCCCUGGUGGGCACUCAGUUUCUUCUCUCAUCAGUGUUACAAGGAAAUGACAUAGAAUGAAAUGUCAUUAUUGGGAGGUCUUCCUGUGACCCUUCUGUUCAAGAAUUGUCUUCGUAUUGUUGGUCUUUAAAGGAGGCUGCAUCGUGAGCAGAAUUUAAGAGAUCCCUUGUACUGCAUUGUCCCCAUGAAUAAUUUUCCCUGCACUGUGAUGACUUGCUGGGUUCUAGGGAGAAAUCAAAAGUUUGCAUCUGGGAACGGACUAACCCCCAUCCUUCCCAAUAUUCUGCAGGCUGCUGUGGUGUCAGUGUUACCGAUGCCAUGGACACUGAUGUUGGCCACAGCUCAACAGAACUCUGUGUUCUCAGAAUCCACUUCAUCUUCUCUCCUUCUGAUAAGAAUGAUCUGAACAGUUGACUUAAUGGUGCUCGUUGGUAUUAUUCCAUCUGCUGAGUACCUGACACUGAUGUCUAUGCUUUAAACAUCUCUGUCCUCCUUCCACGUUCUCAGGCUGCUGCUGGCUUUUCCAGCUUAUUCCAGUGCAUGAUGUGUGCUUUCAUUGUUUGAACAAAUGAGAGUCCUGUGCCUGGUGCAGUCUCUUCCUGAAGGAGUCAGAACGUGGAAGCUUCUAAACAGAGUCACAGAUGAGCUCCUGCAUUCUUUAUCAGCUCAAUGGACAUAGAGGUAUAGGCAGGACUCCCUUCAUUUACUGCAUUUUGAUGCCAGACUGGACAUCAGUGGGUCUACACCCCUACAGCUCAUGACUCACCCGGCAGGAAGGGUGGAAGUAAGGCCACACGCACACUCCUGCUUCUGAGGCUUGAAAAACAGGACUAUCUCCAGAGGGUGCUGCAUGGUGAUACCUCGCCAUGUCUCUCUGGGCACCAGGCACUGAUCCCUGCCUCCCCACACCUUUUCUCAGGUGGACUAGAUGUUCCUGGGUGGAGGUGGGCCUGGGAGCAGUAAAACCUGUCUCCUCAGUGGGACGAGGGCAGGGCCAGCGGCCCAGCACUCAGUGCCCCCACCACUCCCCCUGCCUAGGUGCCUCCAAACCUGCUACUGGGUUCCCCAAUACUGUAGAUUAUAUAUAACAAGUUGAAAACUGUGAGAUAUGAAAUGAGAUAUGGCUAUAGAGAUUUUUCAGGGGAGGGUGACAAUAUGAAGCCAAAUCAGAACUUUUACAUAUAAAUAUGGUAAAAAGUAUAAUAUAAAUGUAAGGAAAAAAUUACAUUAAAAUGUAAGCAGUUACCCAAGAAUGGAAGGGGUUCUAAUAUUUGAAAGGCUAAUUAGGCAAUCACAAAAGACAGAACCAAGUGAAUUAAAAAAUGUUGAUGUUGUCCUGACGCUAAACUGGUUCCCUACAAUUGGUGGAGGAGGAAAGGAAAAAUGGUUUAACAUGUAAAUUAGGGCCCUCUAACCCACGAAUAGAAGAGAAACAAUCUAAUGGUUGGGUUUCUAACCUGAGUCAGAGUUGAGAGAUCCCUGCUAAAUUGAAUGCCUGCCUGGCUGCCUGAGCAACUGACCAUGAUUACUUCUUUAAUUGCAAUAUUGCCAAGAUGCCUCUCAAUUCUACCCUGUUGACACCUGUGGCAGUCACUAUAUUCUCUGAAGUUACUUUAUGUUAGUGCUCUCUAAAACUAUUGAAUCCAGAUGGAACUGAUGCAAGCUCAUUCCUUAUUCAAAGGGAAAGUAAGAAUUUUCUCAAUUAUAAAGUCGAGGGGCAUGAUCUGAUAGGAGGAGUAAAUUAGUAAAACUGACAACUUACGCUAAAGAGUUAAUGUACCUUCAAUCAGGACAGUUUUCCUGAUUUCCCUUGAAGUGCCACAGUCAGAUGGGGUGGCUCUCACUUCCACGUGACCUGCAGUAAGUAGAGUGAGGGACGAGUCAGGAGGUCCUGGGAGGCUGCAUAGGCUGGAGGCAAGGGACACCUCCUGCCCCUUUCUCUCCCCAGAGCUGCCCAUUGUCCAAAGAGGACAUGUCCUGCCUGAAGCUGGGAGUAUAUCCCCUCUCUAAGACAUGAAAUUUAAAGAAAUGGGCUCAUUCCAGUGUUUGGGUCAGUUCUUUCCAGGAAAUUUCCUCCUUUUAGCUCUGAAGAAAAAGCUGGUGGAAGGCGACAGACUUAUACAGAGAACAGACUUGCCCACUGUCUCUGGUCUUGGCAGGUAGGUGGCUCUCUCACAGUGUGAAGUUACCCUUGAUACCCCAAAAGCCAAAGAGAUCAGGGAACUCAAGGCAAGGGAGAGCAGAGCUCCAGAUGCAAGAAGGACCCACCCAUGACUCUUGGGGUUCCUGAGGAAGACAGAGGACUCCAUGUAGUGGGGGGGUCUGUGGCACCUUUUUUUUUUUUCAUUCUUCAAGGAAUCCCAGGCUUUCUAGAAGUCUUCUCUACAUCCCUUUAUGUGGUAGCCAGAACUCUGAUGUUUCUGCUUAGUAAUUUUCCAACCACUGACCACUAAAUGCAGAGGCAGGGGCUUGUCGAUGAUAAGAGAGACCUAGAUGGAAGAUUGAAGGUGGCAGAAGGAAGGAGGGACAGAAGUAAAUGGAAGAAAAAGUCUUAGAGGAGCCAGACUGGGUAGGUCUUAAGCUUCCCAAAAAGGCCAAUGAAGUUUUACUCUUUUUUUUUUUUUUUUUUUUAACCGGUAAAAAUCCUGCCUACAAGAAAGGAAGCAAACAGAGGAAUCAAGUUUAUAAUAAAAAAAGUUUAAGUUUACUGAAAAAAAUUCCCAUGGGAUAAACAAGAACCUAAGGAGAAAAUCAGAAAGACUCUUAAAAAAAUGGUAGCCUGGAUAUCAGCUUUAAAUUAAGCUAUUAUUUGACCACAGAGCUCUUUUAAAAAAAUACUUUUAAAUCCCUUAUCAGAUUUCAGCAAGAAAAAACAACCAAUAUUUCUAAUGUUUGAAACUUUCUUUUUUUUCUCUUCUUUUAAAACAACGAUACCUACCAAGCGACUCAGAACCAAAACCAAGUCUUUUGUGACUUAACCAAGGAUACAUGAGACAUCAUUAAAGAAAUGUAAAGAUGCAGCCCUCUCAAAAUUCAGAGCUACCCCCACAAAUAGCCAAAAGAAAGAAAGAUUUAGAUGCCUUGAGAGCUGGCAAUAGGCAAUAUGUAAGCUUUUAAUGGGAGCCUCCAACAUUUGUUUAGCCCCCUUCACACACCAAAGUGUGUCCUGACAGGCAGCAAGCCAAGUUGGGUUCUCAGGACACAAAACAGGAAAAUGACAGCUGUUCGUUGAAGGGAAAGGAUCAAUAACAAAUGAGUCCCUGAAAUCCAAAUUUACAUAAGAGAACAGUUCAAACAAAUGAUCUCCUGCUGACCUGCAUUUGGAAAGUAAGAUAUAAAGAUAAAUUUUUACCUUUAGUUCUUGACCAGAAACUACAGGCAGAGAUUCAGAACUCACCUUGGUAAAAAUUCUUACCUUUAUUUGCCAGCUCUUUAUCAGUUGUCCCAGGACCUCAUCAAUAGGUGAGUCAGGUGCUUCAGACAUCCCAUCUUCAUCAUCAGAACUAUAAGGGCAGAAAUAGUGUGAUCUCUUUCCUUCCUAUCAAAAGGGUCACAGCUGACACGGCUAUAAUAAGGCAGGUUAACAAGCGAGAAGCAUAGCACGUUUAUUUAAUCAUCGUUUUAUAUAACUAUGGAAGCCUUCAAAAUGAAGACCCAAAGUACAGGAAAAAACUAUCCAUUUUUAUGCUUACAUUCCAUGAGGAAUGGGCAGCUGUGCAGAAAUGUGAUUAGACAAAAAGGGCAUCAUCUAAUGCUAAUAUUCUGAGUAGGGGAAACCCAGCAAGGCCUUUCUGGUCAGAUACUUCUUGGCCUCUCCAUGCACCAUUCCUUCCUCUUGGGUAUGUGGCAGAGCUCUUUUUGGAAUGGGGGUCUUAGUAUCUACAAUCAAACAAGGCAGGUCAGAGAAUUUCUUUAUGGCCAGUUCAGUUCUUACACACAAAGGUAAGGGAAAGUUCAAGUAAUGUUUAUAGGUUUUUAUGGCUGGCUUUGGAGAGAAAGGGCUCUGGUUUCUAUUACCAGCCUUGGGAAAGAGAGUUUCUACUUUUUAUGGCUAGCCUCGGGAGAUGAGGGGUGACAAACAGGAGGGCAGGAGAAGGCCAGAGAGAAACUUUGCUUCUGAGGCUGCUUCUUAGAUCUUCACUUUGGCGUAUUAUUUUCCGAGCUUCAAUAGGAGUGAAGAAUGAGAUCCAGAAAAGCUGGGGAAGAAGGAGAGAACUGUGCUGGGUAUUGGAAUCAGCAAAUGAAUAGUAUGUCUAUGUCUAUUUCACUUAGGUUUAAGAAAAUAAACUCUUCCAGAUUUUUCUGUAAGAUACUGUUUCCUGACUGAAUAUACAAAUGAGACUUAUCUUCAGUAUGAAGGGUGACUUAUUUUUCAGUUUUCUCCAGAAUACUCCAAGAAUUCUGCUUUUUAUAUUAUAUGUGUUACAGAGAUUUAGGAGAGUAUUCUCUUUUCUGUUCUUUCUUUCUUUUUUUUUUUUUUUUUUGAUGGAGUCUCGCUCUGUCACCCAGGCUGGAGUGCAGUGGCGCCAUCUCAGUUCACUGCAACCUCUGGCUCCAGGGUUCAAGAGAUUCUCCUGUGUCAGCCUCCCAAAUAGCUGGGAUUACAGGCACCCAUCACCACGCCUGGCUAAUUUUUGUAUUUUUAGUAGGGAUGGGGUUUACAAUGUUGGCCAGGCUGGUGUUGAAUUCCUGAACUCAAGUGAUCCACCCACCUCGGCUUCCAAAGUGCUGGGAUUACAAGCAUGAGCCACGGCACCCAGUCCCUUUUUUAAUGUAUAUAUAUAAAGGAAAUAAUAAUCAUAUAUUUAUAAAAUAAGAAAAUAACUGUAAAUAUACAUAUGUGUGUAUAUAUGUACAUAUAUAUAUCAUAAUGUGUGAUAUACAUAUGUGUGUAUAUAUGUACAUAUAUAUAUAUAUAUCACAAUGUGUGGCCUGAGGGAUACAUGAAGAGACUCCUCUGCAAUUUCAGGCUCUUCCUUGCUGCUAACUCAAGAAUUCACACAGACAUCCUGUUGGAACAUCUCAAUGAAAAUAUAUUGCUGAUUACAAAAAUACACCUCAAAUCAUACCAGAAUUGAUACACUUUGAAUGAAUAAACCUCACUAGCUCUCUGGUAACAAUACUAUUCUUUCACACUCAUUAGCUCUUAUGAGACUUCUCUCUUUUGAUACCAAGGCAGAGUUUUUACUAUUAAGUGGAAGAACUGUCAAGAUCAUAAUUCAAAGUGACAAUGAGAAUAUUAUUUUAUUUGUUAAUGUUUGAAGUCUAAUAAUAGGAAUGAUCUGUGAAACUAAAAUUGUACUAUUAAUAGCUGUUUAAUGCACUAUUAAACACGAACUUGUUCUGGAUACUAUUAAGUUCCAGUCAAGAUUGGUCGGUCUGCCUGUUCCCUGGAGUCCCAUACGUGGUAUGUGGAGAGGGUGAUCCUAGAGGCUGGUAUGCACAGUGGUCUAUAGGCAAGGAAUACAUCUCUCUCUAUAUCCUUAUAACUGUCAGUUCCAAAAAAUGCAUGCCCUGAUGGUAGCCAGAAACUGAUUCUCUUUGUAUUAGACCAAGGGUAAGGAACAGGCUUAUGACAGCAUUAGCAUCUUUUCUUGCCAAGAAGUAUAAUUUUUGCAGCAUAAAGAGAAAUGCCCAGAAGUGAUGGGUUUCUGCAUAGAUCAGAAAUCAGCCCUCCAGUCUUGGUGGCUGCCCUUGUCACCUUUGGUUACCAGGUUGUGAUUCCCUGAGAGGUUUUCAGGAGACUGCACAUAAACUACAUUCUGCUUUCUCUUUCCUUUUCAUUAAGUUACUAUUACAUCAUACUCAGCGGAAAUUCAGGAAAUCCUCUCUUGCAGGUAGUUCUGCAAAACCUAGAAAUUUUAUUUCACUUCUGCUUAGCACUUGUGGCAUUCUGAUCUUUAGGGAAGCCAUCAAGCUGAAACCACAACAGAACAGAAAACAGCUCUGUGUGAAUGGGCAGGAAGGUGAAGGGAGUAAAGCCAGAGAGAGAAUGUGCCAGGUGCCAUAAUCAGUCAAGAAACAUCACAUGUCUUCUGCGCAUCAAUCUGCAUGAUUAUUCUCUUGUCUCAG